rnacentral:lncRNA from 1 species
GGGGGGGGGAGGGGGAGGGGAAGAGAUGAUGUUAGCUACGAGGCAAUCCUGGCUUUAUAUAUCAAAAUACUCCAUUUAAGUUGUACAUGCUAUUUGUAGAGUCAAGUUCACCAAAAAAGUAAACAAAAAACCUCGAAGCACCUCCAUGUCAAAGCAAACUUCACAUAUUUGAUGCCAAAUUUCUCUUAAAAACCAGAAGUUGUGGUAGGCAUAAGGGCUGGACCCAGACAAUUAAGAAAUUCAUCUAGCUACAUAUGGACAAAAGUAUACCAGAACACAACUUUUUCACCCCAAAAUGUUCCUUAUGCCGUGAAAUUUCCAAUCUCCAAAAUAUUGGUCCAUAACAUAAAAAUAAUAACACCUUAAAUUUGGUAGUGCAGCCAAGUGGUUCAUUGAAUAUGCCAUAAUUGGAUAAGGAGAACUAUUGGACAAUUGGUUGGUAGUGAUUGAGACAAGAAAUGGAGACAAGUGUAACAGGGCAGUAGAACAGUAAAGAAGUGCAGAGCGAAGAAAGUAGUGGCUCAUGCAACAUGCUAGAAUAUGGGCUGGGGUUGGGAAUGGGUGCUGGAAGAAAGCAGGCAAGAUUCAAGAAAGUAGACAGACGUAAGUGCCAUUUGAUACUUGUGGAGACAAAUGGUACAGGACUGUUGAGAAUACUGUAGGUUGAGGGGGUAACAGACAUGGGAGGAGAGGAAAAAAUAAAGAGAAGAAAAAAAGGAAUAACAAAUUAAAAGACAUAGACUAAGUAACGACAAUGCUUACAAUGUAGGUCAAAGGAUUAACUCAUCAUUAUCUGUUGACUCAGGUGAACUUUGGACUUUGACCAUCAAUCAUACCAAUCAAAGCACAAUGGUGCAAAACAUAAAUUGUUUUGCCUAACAAAGGAAAAUAAGUCCUUGAACAAGCUCUUAGAAUUGCAGUUUUCUUGCCUGGGAAACCUAUGCAUCCUCUUUUUCCACAAGCUGAAAUUUAAGCUCAUUUUAACUUCUGAAUCUGCUUAAUUUUAUGUUCCCUUGGGACAUAAAUCUACUCUAAUGCAUAAGGUAUCAACUGGUCCAAAAUUUUCCUUCCGAUGUCAUACUUCUAUAGUAUGUGACUUUUGGAUCAUCCAAUGUUCCAAAUUCAAAUUCAAACAAAAACAUAUAUCCCUAAAUUCUAAUUAAUUCAAAGAUAAACAUAUAUCCCUAAAUUCUAAUUAAUUCAAAGAUAAACAUAUAUCCUUAAAAAGCAUCUAGCUAAUAUAAAAAUAAUACACAAGAUCUAAGAUGUAUUAAUUGGAGUACAACUGAAUGCCCGAUAAACUUAAUCUAAUUGAAUCUGAAACAACAUAAGUUAGUUUCUAAAGCCAAAACUGUCUAAGCUCACACCAACUUCCUCCACCCUGUGGAUUAAGUUUGACUUUAACAAACACAAUCGUUUCUAUAAGCUUUUAAACCUUUUAAAAGUUCUUUACACUGGCAUGGUAGAUUACUUCAUGGAUCUUCUUAGUAUUUGCUUCCAAUGUAUUUGACAGCAAAAUAAAACCACGAAAUAGAAAAAAAAAUAAAGGAAUUAAAAUAAACAGGUAUCAGAGAUAUAUAGCUAUAGCAGACAACAAG